rnacentral:rRNA from 1 species
CGAUGGUUCAUUCAAAUUUCUGCCCUAUCAAGUUUCGAUGGUAGGAUAGAGGCCUACCAUGCUUUUUACGGGUAACGGCGAAUUAGGGUUCGAUUCCGGAGAGGGAGCCUGAGAAACGGCUACCACAUCUAAGGAAGGCAGCAGGCGCGCAAAUUACCCAAUCCUGAUUCAAGGGAGGUAGUGACAAUAAAUAACAAUCCAGGACUUCGGUCUUGGAAUUGGAAUGAGAACAAUUUAAAUCUCUUAUCGAGGAACAAUUGGAGGGCAAGUCUGGUGCCAGCAGCCGCGGUAAUUCCAGCUCCAAUAGCGUAUAUUAAAGUUGUUGCAGUUAAAUAGCUCGUAGUUGAAUCUUGGGGCUGGUUUGGCGGUCGCGUCUUUGACGUGUACUGUCGGCCGGUUCUUUUACUUGUGGGGAACGUAUGUGCCCUUUGCGGGGUGUGUACGGGAACCAUGGUGUUACUUUGAAAAAAUUAGAGUGUUUAAAGCGGGCGUAAGCUUGUAUACAUUAGCAUGGAAUAAUAGA